AAAUGAACUCAAACUCUUUAGUUUAAAUUUAAUCCCAACAAAAGUUGCAAUAAACUACACUGUAAAAACGUGUAGUUGUGUCUAACUUCUGAUCUUUAAGUCAAAGAAAUAUUGCAGGUUUAAGAUUUUGAACUCAAUUAUGUGAGUUUUGAAAGACAAACUUACAGCUGUGAGACGUGUUAACUUUUUCCUCAUUUUGUCAUACCUCCAAAAGUUGAGAGAGCUCAGGAUUUUAAGUGAGCAUUUAAAAAACAAACAAACAAACAAAAAAAGAACUGAAUGAGGGAGUGGGAACUAUUUCCCAGGGUGCUUUGCAUCACCUGUUUGUAUCGAAGAUGGAUGUGUGUUACACCGACCCGCCUCUUGUGUGUUAUCAAGGCAGAUGUUUGUUCAAUCUGACUAAAAUUCAAUAAACUGCAUUUUAGACAUUUUUCUUCAAACUUACAAUCAAUAAUCAAUCUUAACUCAAUAAGGUAAUUCAGAAUGAUACAGAAAUUUAUGACGACGACUCACAAUUAAAGAUUAAUGCACUAUCAGAACUAAAAGAAAAACAAACCCCAAAACAAAAACAAUGUUUAGACUAAUUGUGUUUUGCUGAAUCCUUUUUUGAUGAACUUUUCAUUUUUGAAUUAAAACCAGAACGAUUCUCCCAUUGACUUCACUUGCAUCUCCAACCUUCGUUGUCGAGCCAAAACCCACCUUCGGAUGUUUUGCAGUGUACUUAUUGAAGAUCUGUGCCUGUUUGGGUCGGAAACGUCAAAUCAGCGAUGGAGGCGUAACACACAGCGAGUACGGCGACUUCAGCCUGGAGGCGCGCUGAAUGGAAACGGCUUCCGAGUUUAAAUCCAGUUUGUAGGUAACUGCGAGUUCAUUAAGAAGCGGGCUGAAGGGGGCCGGGGCGGCACGCGCAUCAGGAACAGUUUGUUAAUUUUCAUAUGCAAAACGUCUGAAAAAGAAAAAAAAAAAACCUUGGGACAUACGGAGAGUCUGAGCUCAUCAUGAGGGGAAACAUGAUACCAACCGGACCCUCGGUCAGGAGAAAACACGCAGCCGGCUCAGACUUCAGACGGCUGCCUGCGUGUGGCUGCAUUCUGACCGGGUCGAAGGUCAAACGCAGAAGCCGCGAGCGUGAUUACAUAACGGAGUGGGAGCGAGAUGUACUGGAACGGAUCAUUCUGUGUCCCAGACGCCACACCUUCAAACAAUCCUUUCAACAUGCCAGCUUCAUUUUAUGGGAGGUAAUUUUGAAGACGCGCAGCCUGGAAAACCUCAGACAAACACACCAAACCGGGAUGAGUAACUCGGCCUCUGAUGCAUGGAAACAACACAAGUCCCGCUUCGCAACGUGACUCAGGAUGCAGUUGGGGGGAAGGCGGGAGGAGAGAAAUAACCGAAUAGCUAUGCGGUGAGGCAUCUUGAGACCCAAACCGCUUCCAGGACGCGAUGUGAGACGGACGGUGGAGGAUUGAGGACAAAAAGGACAAAGCAGAAUGCGGUUGGACCUGCUCGUUGCUCUGGGUGUGGGCUACCCCACCCCGCAGAGUGGAAACCUAUUGGAUGUUGAGCCAUGCCAUGGCAAAGAAAGGGGAGGGCAGGAGUUUGGUCACAACAUGUCUUUAAAAUCCCAACAGAAGAAACGGACCAAACAGGUGCCUGUAAAAGCCCUGGAGGAAAACCAGUAGGAGAGGCCAGUGGGUCAGUUACCUGACAAACCAGAGCGGUGAUGAAGUGUGACUCGCAGCCUUGCAGAGAUAUUACAACCCCCCGAACUCGCUUUAUCUCACGUCUUACAACCAACUUCAUUGUAUUUAAUGGCUAUUUUGUGCCAGACUAACUUGAAAUAUUGCAUUUUUUAUUUAUUUAUUUAUUUUUUACAAAGGCACAAGUCUAAACCGACAUGUUAUAGUAAAUUACUGAAAAUAAGCCAAUUAAAAUGAAACAUUAUGGAUUCAACAUCAAUUGCUAGCACAGCUUAGCAUAGCAUUAAAGGAGUUAUCACUUUUCAUUGCAUGUGAUUUUCUUAAAGCGACUGAAUUGACGAUACAUUUUUAGAAAGGUAAAACUCCCUUUUUGUGAUUUAAAAUGCAGCGCGUUUUUAUUCUCGGCUUUCAAGCCUUGCUACAGAUUUUCAGAAGGAGUUGAACCGCCACGCCCGGAUGCACCGAUCCACUUUUGUCACUUCUGAUACCGAUGUCUGAUUCUUAGUAUCUGCAGAUACCGAUUCGAUACAGAAAAACUGGAUUGACUAAACACUUUUCUUUGUAAAAAAAAAACCAAACAAAACAAAAAAACGCAGACAUAAAUGUACAGAAUUAUACAUUUAUUUGAUAACUGCACCGGUGCAACACACUUACAUACAUUGAUAGAUUCACAAGCCUGGUCAAACAUGUAAAAACAACUUUAAUUUGUUCUGUCAGUGCAAUUAGGAGUAACAUAAAUAAUAAACUGAAACAAACAAAAACAAUAAGUUGAUUAUCUUGGCCCAACAUGCACAAAAUAAACCGGGGAAAAAAAGUAGUAAAGUUUUGAACAAAAAUAAUUUAUGUUCUUCAAAUGUUUCCUGCAGAACAGCUUUUUUCCCCACCAUGUUCCCACUGAGCUGCUCUGAAACAUUAUUAUUGCUUCCAUGUAAAAAAAAAAUCAUGUUGGUCAAAUUCAAAGGUCACUUCAAACCUAAAUUUGUCAAACUCUGAUCGGUGUGCCUAUUUUAGAAAAGCAUUCCCACAGCAUGAUGCUGCCAUCACUUCUUUAGAUUCUUAGAGCUCAGGAUUAAUAGUUGAGCUGUCCACAGAACCUCUGUGUCCCAAUUGGGGGAUUUUGUGGCAGCAAGUUUGUCGCGCUGGAUUUGAUCCACGGGUGCGAGAGGAAAAGGGCGGAACACAAAUGCACACCGCACUUAUCAGAUCUCUUUUUGCAGAAAACAAAUUAAGAGGCAUAAAUCGUGUCGGUCGACCGCAUGAAACAAACAACAAAACAGAUAGAAUUUUUUUUUUUUUUUUUUGUGGUUGCAAGGUGACAGAUUGUGGGAAAGAGGUGGGGAAACUUUGUCAAGCCUUUUGUCCGCUGUCCCAGCUGACAGCAGCUGCGUUAAAAAUGACUUCCCCUCGCAGGGCGGAAGGACUAGUUUUGGAUUUAAACCCGCUGUCAGAAAGCUGGAUUUGCUCUUCAAACAACGACCCACCCUGCACUUUGGCAUUUUGACAUUUUUAUUUUAUUUUAUACAGUGGAAACAUGACUUAAGAGGUGGCCGCUUUCGAACAAGGACUCCACUGUCAUGGCGCGGACUCGGCUGAGUCACGCAUUACCAAAUUAACGGCCGCCUGUUUGUCUCACUGCUGAUGCUAACCACUGAUGUCGGCGUUCAAUCAUCCUGAGAAGUGUGAGGCAUCGGAUCUGAAGAGAUGGAGCUAAACAAAACGCAGCCCAAAUCCCACCCCACCCCCCAAAAUGAAAGGUGUGCGCAAGAGAGGAGUAAGGAGAAUUUCAAAACAAAAGCCUGAAGCCGGCCCGACCGCUGCCAUGUCACUGCUGGCCUUUUCUUUUUGCACAAUCACAAAUCUCUGCAGUCUGUGGUCGGCGGUCUCAUUCCUUUGUCGUUUUGCACAACGUCGUACCCAGCCCUGAGAUUUCUUCACUUUAAAAAAAAAAGAAAAGAAAACAGCCCUCGGGCUCAUUUACAGGAUUUACAGGGAGGAGGAGGGAUUGCAGGUGAAAUACUUCUCUGAAUGAGGCAGAUCACACAAAAGGAGGGGAGGUAAGAGUUAGUGUUGCAACUCCCACCUGACCUGAGGCUGUUGAGCAACUGAGAA